rnacentral:lncRNA from 1 species
UUUUCAGAAAAACAUAUUACCCAUUCUUUUGGUUGAAAUGAAUCUAAGAAAGCAACUUGUGUGUUCAUUCUGAAACACCUAAAGCUUGACUCGACUACAUUUGUACAGUAGCAUUAAGAAAUUGGAAAGGGUUCCAUCAGUUACAGAUUCACCCAUGAAGGGCACAAAAACAUCCUGAAGAAGUAAAUCUAAUACCAUACAAAGUAUGUUACAGUUUUUGAAAUUUUUCUACCAGUGCAUGAUCAGCAAAUCGACCGUCCUUCAGUUUUAAUAAAUCAAUCUAAUUUAAUGGCAACACAACACCUUACAAUCACCCAAAAUUCCAUGAAUAUGGACAUAUCACCACUAUUGUGAAGUCGUAGAUGGUAAUGGCCAUCGCGCAAUGUGAGCCUCGGAGAGGAAGAGCAGGGUUUGGCAGAGCCAACCUUCACAGGUUGGCAGCAGACACACUUGUCAUUGCUCACACGUGCGCUGCUCCCGCGCCCAUCAUCUUGGCUGCCACUCCCGCCACUAGCAAGAUGCACAUAGCACACUGGAACAAACAAAAAAAUAUGAGAGAAGUACUGAACAAACUUUGACAGUGAGAAAGAAUCAAAGUGCUACAGCCAAAUAAACUCCUCACUAUCACCAGCAAGAUUUAGUCUGAAUUAUGCAUAUCAUUCCUUCAAAGCAUUCAUAUACUCUGAGUUAAUCAACAAUAAUCAUGAAGCACACGUGUCUACCCAUGUCGUAGGCCAUCGACUCCAGUCCCCAAUGGACUCCUUCAACAAUGCAAUGUCUUCCUGUAGCAAUGCAAAAUUCAGUAACAAAGACAACAAGCCUAGUGAGAGAGUCAAUAGCAAAAUAAACACUUUCAACCAAUUCCCGAGAAACAGAGAGUACGCAUAGGAACUUACCAUUGAUGUAACAAUGCAAUGCCAUUUCAUAUUUGUAGCUGGUUGGUUUUAGAGGGAUUCUGGUAAAAAAUCUAAAUUAUUUAAGGUUGCCUCUUUCCAGAAAUGAAAUAGAAAUGUAAAUUCAGUACGCAUGUGGAUAAGAAUAAAAUGAAACUUCCUAUCUGCAUUAAAACAUCAAGCUCCAUACUGAAAAAUUAACAGGUCACAACAAAUCACUGGAAAGUAGCAUUUCAUAGAACUAGCUCUUUGCUCAGCUUAUUUUUCCCACCUCUCUCAGUUUGAACUUCCUUAUUGAUUAUUGUUGAAUCCAUUUUAUAACAAAAAAAAAGAGUCACUCAAGGUAAACGUGAACUUUGAUCCAAAACUAUAAGAACAAGGAAAAUGCCUUUUUACCUGUGUUUCUUACGAUGGUUUCCCUUUACAUAUGUGUUGUUGUAGUUAGCUAGCCGCAGAUGAAGCAUCAAGAACACAAGUCAUGAUCAAAUAUUGCUUCCAGAUGGAAUUUCCUCAAACAAGUUAUGUGCACGUGUUGUACUUUCCUGUUGAAAAUAUGAACAACAACAAACAUGUCAUCAUUGUAAUGAAAUUGAAGGACGUCUAUGAAUUCGACAUUCAAACUUCAUAAGGGCAUUACUAACUAAUCUUCCUCCAUAUAUCUGCAAGUAUCCGUGAAGGAAAAAAACAUCUCCAAGUUACGUUGAUCUGAUUCAAGCUCCAUACAAAUCCUAAACAAAAUCAAAUCAGGAGGUAC